rnacentral:rRNA from 1 species
AUUGAACGCUGGCGGCAUGCCUUACACAUGCAAGUCGAACGGUAACAGGUCUUCGGAUGCUGACGAGUGGCGAACGGGUGAGUAAUACAUCGGAACGUGCCUAGUGGUGGGGGAUAACUACUCGAAAGAGUGGCUAAUACCGCAUGAGAUCUACGGAUGAAAGCAGGGGAUCGCAAGACCUUGUGCUACUAGAGCGGCCGAUGGCAGAUUAGGUAGUUGGUGGGAUAAAAGCUUACCAAGCCGACGAUCUGUAGCUGGUCUGAGAGGACGAUCAGCCACACUGGGACUGAGACACGGCCCAGACUCCGACGGGAGGCAGCAGUGGGGAAUUUUGGACAAUGGGCGCAAGCCUGAUCCAGCAAUGCCGCGUGCAGGAUGAAGGCCUUCGGGUUGUAAACUGCUUUUGUACGGAACGAAAAGCCCUGGGUUAAUACCCUGGGGUCAUGACGGUACCGUAAGAAUAAGCACCGGCUAACUACGUGCCAGCCGCCGCAGUAACAC